UUCAAAGAAAGGAACGAUGUAGACCUGACCUCAAAGAAAUCCAUUGGAGAAUAUGACAGAUUUAGAUUUAAUGAUCAACUUUACUUUUCCUAUACAGAUGGGAAAACAGCCUGCAAAAAUGUUAAGUAGCUUCCUCAGGAUCAAGUACUAUUGGAGCCAGCAUUGGUGGUCAAUCCUGUAUAGAAAUGACUUCAGUUGUAGAUCUGUGACCUGCCUUACUUACCUUCCUCUACCGAAGUGGGUCAACCAAAACCGCAUGGCAUACUACUCUCUGAAGCCUCUACUACCCUGCUCCUCCGUGUUGACAUGUGGUCAGGCAAGCCAGGACUUACUCACAUCAGCUACAUCAGUUACUAGGAUGGAGAAAAUUGAAGCCUAGAAAGAUCAAGAAGCUUUCUCCAGGCCAUAAAUAGAGGAAACAGGAUUCAAAUCAGAUAGAUCCCAGGGCUUGUUCUCUUCAACACCACAUUACCCCACAUUAUUAUUCAAUUAUUAAAUAAAACCUUGCAUUAGUGGCAUUUCCAAAUGCAUAACAAAAAAAAUAAAGAAAAAAAGUAACACUGGUCA
rnacentral:sRNA from 1 species